CAUAAAGGCCAUAGUUGGCGCACGGGCUGCGUAAUGCGUAUGCAACCNUACCCAUCAAAGGGGGAUAGCCCGGGGAAACCCGGAUUAAUACCGCAUAAGAUCAGAGAGUGGCAUCACUUUCUGCUGAAACAUUUAUGGUUGAUGGAUGGGCAUGCGUAAGAUUAGCUAGUUGGUGAGGUAAUGGCUCACCAAGGCAAUGAUCUUUAGGGGUUCUGAGAGGAAGAUCCCCCACACUGGUACUGAGAUACGGACCAGACUCCUACGGGAGGCAGCAGUAGGGAAUAUUGGGCAAUGCCCGCAAGGNUGACCCAGCCAUGCCGCGUGCAGGAAGAAGGCCUUCUGGGUUGUAAACUGCUUUUGGAAGGGAACAAAACGGCUGUGCGCAGCCACUUGAGUGUACCUUCAGAAUAAGCACCGGCUAACUCCGUGCCAGCAGCCGCGGUAAUACGGAGGGUGCAAGCGUUGUCCGGAUUUAUUGGGUUUAAAGGGUGCGUAGGCGGCCUAUUAAGUCAGGGGUGAAAGACUGCAGCUCAACUGUAGCAGUGCCUUUGAUACUGAUGGGCUUGAGUAUAGUUGAGGCCGGCGNAAUUUAUGGUGUAGCGGUGAAAUGCAUAGAUACCAUAAAGAACACCGAUUGCNAAGGCAGCCGGCUAAACUACAACUGACGCUCAGGCACGAAAAGCGUGGGGAUCGAACAGNAUUAGAUACCCUGGUAGUCCACGCUGUAAACGAUGAUGACUCGAUGUUAGGGAUAUACUCUUAGCGUCCAAGCGAAAGCGUUAAGUCAUCCACCUGGGGGAGUACNCCCCGCAAGGGUGGA
rnacentral:rRNA from 1 species